AUUGAACGCUGGCGGCAGGCCUAACACAUGCAAGUCGAACGAGUGGCGGACGGGUGAGUAAUGUCUGGGAAACUGCCCGAUGGAGGGGGAUAACUACUGGAAACGGUAGCUAAUACCGCAUACCAUCGGAUGUGCACAGAUGGGAUUAGCUAGUAGGUGGGGUAACGGCUCACCUAGGCGACGAUCACUAGCUGGUAUGAAAGGAUGACCAGCAACACUGGAACUGAGACAAGGUCCAGAAGCCUACGUGAGGCAGCAGUGGUGAAGAUGGCACAAUGGGCGCAAGCCUGAUGCAGCCAUGCCGAGUGUAUGAAGAAGGCCUUCGGGUUGUAAAGUACUUUAAGCGAGGAGGCGUUACUCGCAGAAGAAGCACCGGCUAACUCCGUGCCAGCCGCCGCGGUAAUAG
rnacentral:rRNA from 1 species